UUUAACGCGCGGGGCCUUUUCACCUCUUCGCCUCUGCGUUCCCACCGGAGACAAAGUCAUUCAUGUUUCUGCCUCAUUUAUUAAUUCCGCUCUGAAGGCAUCAACGCGACAAUUUUGACUGAAUUUUAAUUUGAGCUCGGGAUCGAUCCGCGGUCCACAACUCGCGCAAUAACGCGCAAGACAACAAUCUGGACGGUGGCACGAGAUUCAAAUCAAAUAUCUCGCUGCUGUCCCUCUUUGUCGCGCGCAAGGCCGGUGGCAGCUUUUUAACCCGGUUUAAAGGAUUUUUAUAAUAUUUCGAUAACAUUACAACAUUUAAUGUGACAAAGAGUGAGCAGUCUAGCUGUUCUGGAAAAUAAAUGACAGAAACAUAAAAUAGUGCGAGGACUUUGACGCCGCUGGAGCUCUUGGCCCGUGAUUGUGCGCGUGUGAUGCCCUUAAUUUGGCAUCCUAUGCAUUGCAACAGCGGCUCUCUCUCCGCCAUAUCAAGGCAUAUCGACCAAAGACGAGAUGGAGGGGACUAAUAACGGGAGGAAACGCAGCCUCAGCAAGCCCAACUGCUUUCCUUAUGACCCGCCGGCAAGAGAAGCCGGCGCUCGGCAUCAUAAGCAUCCAGCGACAACGUCCACAAGAAGGUGAAGAUGAACCGGCCUUUCUGAUCAAAGCGCCCGUCUAUAAAGCUCAAGGCUGGACUUCCUAGGCGGAAAAAAAGAAUCAUUCCACUUCCUGUCCACAAAAUGAACGGAUCCUUUUUGCCUUCGAGGGGCCUCCUCUGGGUUUUAUGUUGCGACAGUUUGCUGAAAUCACUUCCUGGUGGCUGAAGCAAGGGUGCAAACCUUUCCACACUGUUAAUUCUAUGGUUUUAUACAUUGAAACACCUCACAUAACAAUCAUCUCCACUCUUUAUUCACCAAACCUCCUUCAGGCUGGUGUCUUGUUAAUUGUGUUGUCAUUGUAACACACACUGUAUUCACUGAGGUAAAACCAGCACACUCAAAUGCCAAACCACAGCAGAUAGAUUAGGAGCUGAUUUUCAUAUUUAAUGUUUCUCUUCUAAAGACUGUUAGUCUGAUAAACUGGAGGUUUGCUACAACCUGGUUGCUCUUGUUGCCACAGUGUCCCCACAACAGUCCUGAAUGUCCGCAAUCAAGUCAGUUAAUAUGACAUCUUCACCGCAACAACAAGAAAAAAAUGGAGGAAACUCAGGACAGACAGAAACCAGUAGAAUCUGGCAGGAUGAAAAUGUGCAGAAUCUGUAAUAUUAAGCAUGAAUAAUUAAUUAAUUCUGCCCUCAAGUGAAGAUUGCGACAAGCAAAGUGGAUGUUGCCUGUUUUCUCGUCAAAAAUAAUUCAUGAUUUCGUGUUCGCAGGAAAAGACGGUAAAAAGAAUAAAAACAACAUCAACAUUUUAGGCAAAGUCAGUGUUUGGUUGCAAAAUCUCCACUUGUGAAGUCCUGAAUUCCACACUGAGUGCGUCAUCUGAAUGGACUUUUCUUCUAAACAGAGCAAACACGGCGCCCUUGAAGGCAUCUCACCACACAGCACCAGAACACUGAAUUUUCCUUCAAACAACAACGUCUCAAUACUAAUGAAGAAGUUCUUAAUAAACAGAUCUACUGCUGUUUACUGUCGCACUGCCACUGGGAUCCAUAUUUAAACAGGCUACCGUGCUCACACACACACACACACACACACACACACACACACACACACACACACACACACACACACAUACACACACACACACACACACAUACACACACACAGAGUGAGGACUCUCUGGGAGAUAACCGUAGUUAAGUCGAGCUAUUUCCUUUUCCUGUUUGUGUGGUGCCAGGCGAGCCACCCUGCUGCCACCGAGGAAUGUUGAUAAUGCUGGCCCUGGGCCGUAACACACACGCACACACACACACACACUAACAGACGACGCCCAUGUUAUUCCACCAACCGCCAAAAACUUAAAACGUGUAAACAUGAUGGAGAAUAAACUCCUUGAAAAACAAAAAAAAAGGCCUCCAGAGAAGACAAGACUUUGAAUUGACUUUGACCCUGCGCUGCCUGAGCUCUCUCUCACACACACACACAUGCACUAACACAACAGCGUCCCUCUCUUCCUCCCUCGCAGCUCCACCUUCCUCUCACUUUCCUGACCUUCCAGUCCAGGGUGGAUGGAAAGAGACAGCGAGCCCACUGGAACCUUGGGCUGAGUUAUGCAGGAGUGAGCUUUGAAUAAUUGUCCCGCAAUAUGAGUGUCUCUGAUUAAUUGCCUGAGAUAAGGUCUGCUUUUCUCCCCACUCCUCCCAUCUGUACUCCCCCCCCGCUCCCCUCCAUCCUUCCCCAGCUCCAGCUCCCAGGCCUGCCUGCCUGCCUGCCUGCCUGAGCUCCCAUAAUCAGCCUGGACUACUGAGAGAGAAACUAUUUAACUGACCCUGUCAUCUUGGAGCACGAUGAUGGCUGUCCUAAUUACUCAACAAUAACAAAGGCCCUCAUUUAGCUCUGACGGCUGCCUGCAAUCAGCAGUUCUAUGAAUAACUUAACAAAUAGGAAUGAGGGGGAAAAACGUAUUUACAGGCACAUUAAUUCAAGGCCAAAAGACAAUACGUGUCACCUCCAGCUAACUCGGGAUUCAGGUGACAAUCAGUAGGUGUGUGUGUGUGUGUGUCUUUAGGCAAGUGUGUGUGCACGUAAAGCCUUGCACAUGCGUGCGAGUUAGGGUUCGACUAAUCAAACAUUAUUAUUAGUCUAAUAAAAGACAUAAUAACUCUAUACAUGUCACAAAAGGGUUCCCGAGAGUUUUAAGAUUUAGCACAAGAGCUACAAUAAGUUAGAUUUUAAAAUUCAGCAUCCUACAAGUCGUCAUGGCAAUCUUUAAAUUUCAAAGAGUAAAAGUGUUUUCAACACGCCAAAAAGUGUUUAACACAUGCAGAUCCUUCACUUAGUUAAAGCAGUGAUACCACUAUGUAAAAAAAUACGACAGUGGAAAUGAUGCACAGUCUCUGAUAGUUAACAAGUCCUGCAUUCAUAAUACUACUUCAAUAAAAGUACUGAGGUGUUAUCAGCAAACUGAAAGCACUAGUGAUGCACAGCCAACACACAGUACAUGGAUCAGUUUCUAAGUGGCAUUUUAAUGACAUAGCUGGUCAAGAGCUAAUUAACUUAAUACUGGUCAAAACAUUGGGUUUUACAAGCUAAUCAUAUGUUUUCUGUGGAAAAUGUUUAACUGUAAAAUAAAAGCAGUGGAAUAAUAAUAUAAAUAUAGUUUGUUCCCAUGGACAGCAACAGUAACAAUCAUCGUUAAAAUAAGUUUCCAUGAGGUAAAAGCUGUUCAUGUAUGUCGACGUAUCACGUGUCUUGAAAAACAGCCUCAUGUUUGAAUCCUUCAGUUAAUCCAGUGGGUUUUCAUUUGGUUUAAUUUUCUCAACCCAUACAAGAGCAUGUAUUUUUUUAAAACUUUUUUAGCAUUUUUCAUAGUAUUUUAUGCAUCAAUAGUUAAAAAAAUAAAUACUAUCAAUAAUCACAUGACUCCAGCUUUGGCAACAUUAACACAAUAAAUAAAACAGCCUCCAAAAUUAAAUAGAAAUUUUAAACAGAUUUCUUUGAAAAAGGUGUUUAUGUGGGUGAUAAACGUAAGAACAGAAGAGGAUGAGAAUUAUAAAUAUGCUCUUAAAGAGCAGAAGGUGCUUUUCAGAUCUACUAAAACCUCGCUGCAGUAUUGAAUAUUGAUAUUAAAUGAGCAGCAUUUGACUGUCAAAGUAUUGAUUUCUGGAGCAUUGCAGACUUGUAGAUAAGCAGGUUAUUAUCGAUUGGCCCACGCUGCUUUCUAUCCAUCCUAUCAGAGGAGGCGGCGCUGGCCAGACCAGAUCUGAUAUUUACGAACAAGAAAAAAAUGAGCCCGACAUGCCGGUCUGAGCUCAGUCUGCGUGUUUAAUUGUGUGUCUGCAUGUUUCAGAAGGCGAGGAAGCCAUCCGCUGCCCAAAGUAUCAGCUUCUGUACCCGCAGAUAGCACCUGGACUUUGUUGAGCAGACUAUUUACAUAUCAAACACCCUCCCGCCUGUUGUCGCGCCCCGCAUGCCAGACACAGGCAGAAAAGAAGGGCAUUUCCUCCAGAAAAAUAUAUAAACUAAACAAGGAAGUGAAAAGAGUUAUAAUGGAGGCGGGCGAACUGUGUGGAGCUCCGUUUACUGAUAAACACAGCGGGCCUUUAUAGUGCUACAAUAAACCGGCAGACCUGGACACAGGCGCGCAAACGCACACAAACAGGCCAGGGAAGACAAGUUGUAUAAAGUUUGACUAGAAUUUCAGAGGGUUUGGGGAGAAAAGAUAGAGGGAGGGAGAAAGAGGAUGUGAAGGGGGGGAGAUGGAUGGCGAGGGGAGGCGAAGCCGAGCGUACACUUGACACUCAGCUAAUGGUAAAUCCUCAGCUUUAUACUGUAAUUUACUGCAGAGCCUUCGGGCCAAACUGCCUUUGAAGUGCUCCGAAAUGUCAAAUCAAUUAUUACUUAAAUGAAAAAAAAGAAUUCAAUUUACGCGUUUCAUGAUAAUCGGUAACAUUUCAUGAUGUUAAAAAAAAAAAAAAAAAGCAAAGCAAUUUGAGGCGAUUUGAGCCCCGGCUCCAUUUUUCUGUGCAGUUCUUCUUUAUUCGCCCCGCUCAGAUAUGCUGAUUGGAAUAUAAAGUUGUUGAUGAUUGCGUCUUUUCUUCGUCGUCUCCUUUCUUGUGUCAUCAUGAUCGCAGAGUAAGGAAAAUCAAUUUGGCGGUAUAAUACUCUUCAUCAAUUGGAAGUGGGCGAUAAUGAUGUUCUACACCUGUGAGUGUGUGUCUGUGGCAGUGUGUGUGUGAGCGGUGUUAGGAAGAGUGGCGUGGAACAAUGCGCCUUCUUCAUGAUUCAUUACGUUCUAAUGUCGCCGCGUGAAUAAAGACGGCGCAGGCCAGCUGAAUUACACACUCCUCACACUAAUGGCUCUGUAAAAAUAGUUCGCCGCGGCGUGCACGCAGCCGUCCUCGCCCCCCUCGCUGCUCUUUGUUCAUGGACAGGUAAAGCAGGCGAGCCAUGAAGAGCGCAGCUCAACGACAAUGCUGUAACGUCUGUAUCAGCACACUGCGGCUUGUUGCCUAUGAAGGAGACUUUUGAUCUUCCCACCAUCAGCUGUUUGAGAGAUUUGAGCGAAAUGGCUGGUUAAAGGCCGCGUUCACCCGAGUUAUUAAAAGAAUUGUUGGUGUUUAGCCGUGCGCAUAGCUCGUGUUUCAUGUGCUGAGGUUUUGAGAUAUCCGUCUCCAGCACGAUGGAGGUGAGUUUUAUUUAAAAAAAUACUCAACAGAAACAUGUUUUGCAGAAAGAGAAAAGCUGCGACAUCUCAAAAACCAGAUCUUAUAAAAUACCAUUAAAUGUAAGGAAAGAAAGUGUUUUUUUUUUGUUUGUGAUUUGGGUGAACUGGUCCUUUAAAAGGGUCACAGCUAAAACCUUGAAUCAGCUAUCAGAAGGUUUGUGCAGUGACAACCUUUAAAGGCCAAAACUUCUGUUAAUACUUUUGUUUUCUGUUAUAUUUCCCAUAGAGUGAAAGUUUACUGUGGUGUUUUAUGUGCUGCUGCAAAACUCCGAAGUAUAAAACUCAUUUUGACUCAUCACUCAUAAAAGUCAUUUUUCCCACCUGUACAACUGCACCUUAAUGCAUCACUGAUCACUUUUCAACCAAUCAGCUUUCAGCUUUGACCAUCAAAAAUCAUUUCUAUAUUUGGAAAACUGAUCGUUGGUAGCCAAACGGUGUUAUUAGUGUUGGUGUUUCCCAACGACUACAUUUCCCAUGAGCGUUUGUGUGAUUUGCCGGAACUGGGUGAGAAGAAGCCAUUCGGGCCCAGUUAAAACCAGGUUUUUCUUCCUUCACUCUCCAAAAGAAAUCUCAUCCACACAAGCAGUUAAAAAAAACCUCAGCAAACCAACAGGAGGGGAUACAACCCUGACCCUAAAGCCAUGUUGGCCAAUCAUAAGCCUGAAAAAAAGCUAUUAACGGUAGGUUACAUACAGCUAGAGGUCUGACUGGUUCUCAUCUAAAACCAGUGUUGUGUUGCAGGACUGUUGGAUUACAUAGCUCUGACCUCUGUAGCACCCUCUGACGCCUCUGUUCCUCAGUAAAAAUGGAAUAGUAACUGUAUGUUUAAGUGUAAAUGUGUAAAAAGCCCUGUUAGCAAUGAUAGCACCAGCACUAUAAUGGCAACUGCACAAACUCGCACACUCUGUUAUCACAAGCCAAAAACUCCCUGUCACACGUCAACACUGCAAACAGUUUCUGAGCAUCUUCAGCCGAGAAGGAGUUUUCCAAAAACUGUUUUCAGUGACCUAAAACUCUAUUUGUGUGUGAACAAAAGGCCAAAACACAUACUUAAAAAAUACCUGUGCACAUGUGGAUUAGGUGUAAAACAGUCAAAUAUUUCUUCCCCUUCCUCUUUUUCUGUCCCUCACAGGCCACUGUAGGCGACUUGCGAGCGUUUCCAACUGGACACUUGAUUCUGAAUCAUUGUAGCCGUGGAAAAUGGAACAAAUAUGACUAUAAAUAAAUACUAUUAAGCCAGAAAAUUCUGUCAUCACAGAGGCAGAAGAGAGAAAAUGCUGACACAAAAACAAAAAAUAAAACAAUGGAAGAGGACGAAGACACUUUUGUCUCUCUUCUCUCUCAGUAGGAGAGAAAUCAAGACAAACACGAGCAGUACAGACGCUUAAAAGCCAAAAAACAAAGCAAUAUAUUACUUAAGGGUUCAAAAAUAACGACCUCUUCAACCCUGUAGACGGAGGAUGUGCCGAAAUUGUGCUAGAACAUUUAUAAUAUCACACACAAGCCAACUAACAGCAUUUCUGAGAAGUCUAACUGUCCAGAAGACUUCCUGAGACGUGCAGCAACUAUCCUAAAAGGCUGAAAGUAAAGGAAGGGAAGGAGGAGGAAAAAGAAGAGCAUGAAGAGGCUCAGAAAAUCCAGGUUAAGACGCAAAAGUAGCCAGAAAUCCAGAUCUUACAGGGCCGGAAACAUUACGGAGCAGAUAAAUAAUCUUUAAUAAAAGCUAACCAUCGGCCUCAUGUUAUUGUCUCACUGCUGGCAGGACGGCGAGCGCCCAGACAGCCUCGGUGACUCCUGGCCUGAGUCAGCUGUAGACCGCCUGGAGGGGGGGGCGGAAGGGGUAGAAGAAGAAGUUGGUAGAAAAGAGGAAAAAGGGCAGACAGACACACUGCCAAGCACCCACAUCUCUUUCUCUCUGUUCCCUCCCUUUGUGCGCCGUGUGGAAUAACAUACCUUUUCUUCCCUCCUCCCCUCCCUUGCUGGAAAGCGAUCAGGGCCCCUGAUAGCGAUGGCGAUUACAAAACCACAGGAGCAGCCUACCCACCAAAACAAAGUGUUUUUCAGCUCCUGUUUUUUCAGGGCCUGGCGCCACCCGGAGUACCGUAAACAAUAAACAUGGGCCAACGCGGGGCCGCGCUGCGCCUUUCCUACCUGAUUCACUUCAGGGCGGCGUAAACACAUCACGCCAGGUACAGUGUGUCAUUGUGAGCGAUUGCUGGUGCAUUCAGAGGCAGAGCGUGCAGGGUUGAGUGACAGCUAUAAGUCUGCACACUUCCUGUGAACUUCUCAUCAGCUGAACACACACAUGCUGCCGCGACCUCACUCAUCCUUUGUCUGCAGAACCUGAGGUAUUGUACAAGACUUUCCCCGAAAAUAAACACCUUUGCAAGCCUGCAUGUGCUACCUUUUGUUGAAUCGAGUGUUAAAAAACCGUCUUUUCCACUGGCAACGCCGCCCUUAUCUUUACAUCUGCCGUGGCCGGCUCGCAGCCCCGGCUUGCGUCGAAGCAGUUCUGUUAAACGCUGGACUCAUAGCAAAUUGACUAUUACUUCAAAGUGGCCUGUGAUUAUGUCCCUGAGUGAUUAGGGGGGCUGUUAAGAGGGAGCCACUUGAGCAUUGCCAGUGAACCCGUGAAGGAAUGCCGGCUCGCUGCCGACUGGCGAGGGAAAACGCCGCCGGAGACGCACAAAUCCCACAAAGGCAACGGCCGUGCAGCGCUGCACAGACCUGAGGCUGGAGAAGCAGGAAAGACAGAAAAAGGAAGAAGAACAAGUUGUACCUGCACAAGAGCGAGCCGCACACAGUUUAGAGCCAAUAAAAGACGUGGAAGGGAAGAAAUGAAAGAUUUAGAUCUGAAAUAAAAACCCCACCUGGAAAUAAGUCAAACGAAAUGGAAAUGUUAUGAUGUGCGGACGCACACGUACACACUUAACGCAGGGCGCACUCAGGGCGGCAAAAUCAUUAGCUAAGCACAUCAGGGGACAAGACCUCCAAACACUUCCAUUACAUUCCAAUUGUUACCAGAUUUCCCAACUUUUCAGCACCAAACUGUUCUUGUUUGCCCUCUUUCCCCUUCAUCUCCACAUCAAACGGACAAUAGAGACAAGCAGAAAGCAGAGGAGGAGGAGGAGGGAUGAAAGACGUGGGGGGAGACCCGGGGAGCGAGGCCCCGAACGCCCGUUUUAAUGGGAAUAAUAAGCUUCUAUCUCAGGCAAUUAAGUCUGCAUUCGAUACUUAUCUCAGAGCAGAGGUCCACUGUGCCAUCUAAAGAAAAUGUUUGCGUUUGAAAAACUCCAUCACAUAAACAAGAUAAGGUGGGGAACACGUAUGCGUGCCGCCUAUCGCAUCCAACCUCGGCUUUGUUCUUGGAGGGAUAAGUGACUCUGAAGCAGGUUUUCUGGACCGGCUAAUGUCCUCGAUCCCUUUGUUACCGGUAUGCACCACAUGCUGCCGGUUUACAGCCAUGGAAACAGAAAAUAACACGAUGGGAACACUGGGACGUCGCAGCUUGACCAAUAUGUUUCAAGGCUCAUGUAACAGCAAAUAGCUUCAGAGUGAAGUUGCAGACAGAUGAUAUUAAAACCCAGAGAGCAUCAAUGUGGUGAUUUACAAGCCUGGAGAUGUCUCGACUUCUGGGUUAAACAGACAUCGAACUGUUUCAGCAGCAUUUAAAUGAACAUAUUCCAAAAUAAAGCAGGUCUUUAAAAUCAGCGGCUCCAAACGUUUUUACCACCAGGUGCACCAAAAAGUGAUUUUUCUGUCUCUGAUUGUUUUCUUUUGAGAGCAUGUAAGGGCCAAAAGUAGUAAAAUUAUUCAGGAUAUUACAUCAAAAUAAAUAAAAGGCACAAAGAAUAUCUGCUUAUUGUGAAUCUGAUGCAGCAGCACGUUUCAAACGAGUCAGGACAGGAGCAACAAAAGA